rnacentral:rRNA from 1 species
GUCCUAGCUGUAAACGAUGGGUGCUUGGUGUAGCGGGUAUCGACCCCUGCUGUGCCGAAGCUAACGCAUUAAGCACCCCGCCUGGGGAGUACGGUAGCAAGGCUGAAACUCAAAGGAAUUGACGGGGGCCCGCACAAGCGGUGGAGCAUGUGGUUCAAUUCGACGCAACGCGAAGAACCUUACCUGGGUUUGAACUGCCGAUGUAAACUUCAGAGAUGAGGUCCUCCCGCAAGGGACAUCGGCAGAGGUGCUGCAUGGCUGUCGU